AGGCAUGCAAAGGGCUGUCGCUGACUUUUGAUGCAAAAGUUGUGCACGCCGGAGCAUGUCCUCUCACAUUAAAUCCAUCUCACCCUUUUGUGCACCACCGCGUGGGCACCCUUUGGGAUCGAACCGAUCUUGGAGGGGGCCUGCGUUUUCACACAAACCCCCCCUUUUAAAAAGUGUAGAAUGACCCCACUUUGCGGUGACACGCAAUCAAUACAACUUUCAACAACGGAUCUCUUGGCUCUCGCAUCGAUGAAGAACGCAGCGAAAUGCGAUACGUAAUGUGAAUUGCAGAAUUCAGUGAAUCAUCGAAUCUUUGAACGCACCUUGCGCCCCUUGGUAUUCCGAGGGGCACACCCGUUUGAGUGUCGUGAAAACCCUCAACCUUCUCGGUUUUGCCGAAGGAGGCUUGGACUUUGGAGGCCUUUGCUGGCGUCCUUCUUUUGAAGGCCCAGCUCCUCUUAAAUGAAUUAGCGGGGUCCUCUUUGCCGAUCCUCGACGUGUGAUAANAUGUUUCCAUGUCUUGGCUUUCCGGCUCUGUUGCUUUUGGGACCCGCUUCCAACUGUCUCGUCUCGAGACGACGUUCGAGGGUGUCUCCCUUCUCGGGAAAAUGCUCUUGACCUCACAAACCCUUGACCUCAAAUCGGGUGAGACUACCCGCUGAACUUAAGCAUAUCAAAUAAGCGGAGGAAAAGAAACUAACAAGGAUUCCCCUAGUAACUGCGAGUGAAGCGGGAAAAGCUCAAAUUUAAAAUCUGGCGGUCUUUGGCUGUCCGAGUUGUAAUUUAGAGAAGCGUCUUCCGCGCCGGACCGUGCACAAGUCUCCUGG
rnacentral:rRNA from 1 species